rnacentral:rRNA from 1 species
GUCAACACCGUAAACGAUGAUUACUAGAUUUUGGCCUUAUGGUCAGAGUCCAAGCGAAAGUGUUAAGUAAUCCACCUGGGGAGUACGUCCGCAAGGAUGAAACUCAAAGGAAUUGACGGGGCCCGCACAAGCGGUGGAGCAUGUGGUUUAAUUCGAUGAUACGCGAGGAACCUUACCUGGGCUUGAAAGUUAGUGACCGCUCCUGAAAGGGAGCUUUCCGCAAGGACACGAACUAGGUGCUGCAUGGCUGUCGU